UACGGGGGGGGCAAGCGUUGUUCGGAAUUACUGGGCGUAAAGGGCUCGUAGGCGGCCAACUAAGUCAGACGUGAAAUCCCUCGGCUUAACCGGGGAACUGCAUCUGAUACUGGAUGGCUUGAGUUCGGGAGAGGGAUGCGGAAUUCCAGGUGUAGCGGUGAAAUGCGUAGAGAUCAGGAGGAACACCCGUGGCGAAGGCGGCCCUCUGGCUCGACCCUGACGCUGAGGCGCGAAAGCGUGGGGAGCGAACGGG
rnacentral:rRNA from 1 species